GGAAUCUGGCCCAAUAGUGGGGGACAACCCGGAGAAAUCCGGGCUAUACCGCAUACGCCCUACGGGGGAAAGAGGGGAUCUCUUCGGAGACCUUUCGCUAUUGGAUGAGCCUGCGUCGGAUUAGCUUGUUGGUAGGGUAACGCCUACCAAGGCGACGAUCCGUAGCUGGUCUGAGAGGACGAUCAGCCACACUGGGACUGAGACACGGCCCAG
rnacentral:rRNA from 1 species